GAUGAACGCUGGCGGCGUGCCUAAUACAUGCAAGUCGAGCGAACGGACGAGAAGCUUGCUUCUCUGAUGUUAGCGGCGGACGGGUGAGUAACACGUGGAUAACCUACCUAUAAGACUGGGAUAACUUCGGGAAACCGGAGCUAAUACCGGAUAAUAUUUCGAACCGCAUGGUUCAAAAGUGAAAGACGGUCUUGCUGUCACUUAUAGAUGGAUCCGCGCUGCAUUAGCUAGUUGGUAAGGUAACGGCUUACCAAGGCAACGAUGCAUAGCCGACCUGAGAGGGUGAUCGGCCACACUGGAACUGAGACACGGUCCAGACUCCUACGGGAGGCAGCAGUAGGGAAUCUUCCGCAAUGGGCGAAAGCCUGACGGAGCAACGCCGCGUGAGUGAUGAAGGUCUUCGGAUCGUAAAACUCUGUUAUUAGGGAAGAACACAUGUGUAAGUAACUGUGCACAUCUUGACGGUACCUAAUCAGAAAGCCACGGCUAACUACGUG
rnacentral:rRNA from 1 species